rnacentral:rRNA from 1 species
UUCGUAGGUGGUGCGGCAAGUUGGGAGUGAAAUCUCUGUGCUUAACUCAGAGGCUGCUUUCAAAACUGCCGUGCUCGAGUGCGAGAGAGGCCAGUGGAAUUGCAGGUGUAGCGGUGAAAUGCGUAGAUAUCUGCAGGAACACCCGUGGCGAAGGCGGCUGGCUGGAUCGCAACUGACACUGAGGAACGAAAGCUAGGGGAGCAAACAGGAUUAGAUACCCUGGUAGUCCUAGCCCUAAACCAUCAGAACUUGGGGUGGCUCGCGUAGGCGGGUCGUCCCGUAGCUAACGCGUUAAGUUCUGCGCCUGGGGAGUACGGUCGCAAGACUGAA